UUUAUACUCCCUCCGUCCGGAAAUACUUGUCCAAGAAAUGAAUGUAUUUAGAUAUAUUUUAAUUCUAUAUACAUCCAUUUCUAUUCAUUUUUAUGACAAGUAUUUUCGGACGGAGAGAAUAUUUG
rfam:Triticum aestivum genome assembly, contig: Triticum_aestivum_CS42_TGACv1_scaffold_131445_2BL